rnacentral:misc_RNA from 1 species
GAUGAAGAACGUAGCGAAAUGCGAUACGUAGUGUGAAUUGCAGAAUUCAGUGAAUCAUCGAAUCUUUGAACGCACAUUGCGCCCCCUGGUAUUCCGGGGGGCAUGCCUGUCCGAGCGUCAUUGCUGCCCUCAAGCACGGCUUGUGUGUUGGGCCCCGUCCUCCGAUCCCGGGGGACGGGCCCGAAAGGCAGCGGCGGCACCGCGUCCGGUCCUCGAGCGUAUGGGGCUUUGUCACCCGCUCUGUAGGCCCGGCCGGCGCUUGCCGAUCAACCCAAAUUUUUUAUCCAGGUUGACCUCGGAUCAGGUAGGGAUACCCGCUGAACUUAAGCAUAUCAAUAAGCGGAGGA